UCGGGAAUAUUGCGCAAUGGAGGGAACUCUGACGCAGUGACGCCGCGUAUAGGAAGAAGGUUUUCGGAUUGUAAACUAUUUUAGUCAGGGAAGAAAGCAGACGGUACCUGAAGAAUAAGCUCCGGCUAACUACGUGCCAGCAGCCGCGGUAAUACGUAGGGAGCAAGCGUUAUCCGGAAUUAUUGGGUGUAAAGGGUGCGUAGACGGGAAUACAAGUUAGUUGUGAAAGCCCUUGGCUUAACUGAGGAACUGCAACUAAAACUAUAUUUCUUGAGUGCAGGAGAGGAAAGCGGAAUUCCUAGUGUAGCGGUGAAAUGCGUAGAUAUUAGGAGGAACACCAGUGGCGAAGGCGGCUUUCUGGACUGUAACUGACGUUGAGGCACGAAAGUGUGGGGAGCAAACAGGAUUAGAUACC
rnacentral:rRNA from 1 species